CCUACGGGAGGCAGCAGUGGGGAAUCUUGGACAAUGGGCGAAAGCCCGAUCCAGCAAUAUCGCGUGAGUGAAGAAGGGCAAUGCCGCUUGUAAAGCUCUUUCGUCGAGUGCGCGAUCAUGACAGGACUCGAGGAAGAAGCCCCGGCUAACUCCGUGCCAGCAGCCGCGGUAAUACGAAGGGGGCUAGCGUUGCUCGGAAUGACUGGGCGUAAGGGGCGCGCAGGCGGUUUAUGCAGUCAGAUGUGAAAUCCCCGGGCUUAACCUGGGAACUGCAUUUGAGACGCAUAGACUAGAGGUCGAGAGAGGGUUGUGGAAUUCCCAGUGUAGAGGUGGAAUUCGUAGAUAUUGGGAAGAACACCGGUGGCGAAGGCGGCAACCUGGCUCGAUACUGACGCUGAGGCGCGAAAGCGUGGGGAGCAAACAGGAUUAGAUACCCCAGUAGUC
rnacentral:rRNA from 1 species